CCAAUCGAUGACUACAACACCGAGUCUUCAUCUUCUAUCGGUGACUACAAUGCUAAGUCUUCAUCUUCUUGCGAUUUGCUGUGUUUCUUCAUCUUGCUGCAAUUUGUUGCACGCUCUUGUAUUUAUACCCUAAAAUCGUAAGAGAAAUAUGUUUCAUUAUUCAUUGAAGAUGAUAACGCUGAAGUUGUAGAGAAAAGAAAUGAGGAUAAUCUAAUUAGCGUUGCAUCAAGUGAAAAAGGAUUUGGAACGUACCCCUUUUUAUUUUUUGGUUUACUUACCGGACCAAGCUUAGGAAGAGGAAAUUUAUAGGACCCGAGGUUGCUAUUAAGGUCAUUCUAAAAGCGAGGUAUAAAAAUGGCUUCGAUGUCUAAGAAAAAUAAAAGAUGAAGAGAAGUGUACAAUGACAGUGCGAAAUUGGAUAUUGACAUACAGACGCCGAAGAGAAAGUCUCAACGUUUUGUCCAAUUGGAAG